rnacentral:sRNA from 1 species
ACGGAAAAAAAAACCAAGAUAUUAUUUUGCAAAAUACACAUGGCUCACUGUAUAUUCAACCAAGCCCCAAAGCGAAGCACAGACUACACACAGCUACACCAUCACCAUUCCCCAAACAGAACCAUCGGGAAGGUUUGAAAACAAUGACUUAUAAUGCUAACAAAGAGAAUGGAGUAAUUGAAGGAAUUAAUAGUUUUCACAAUCUCUUUUCCUAAUAUUUACACUUUAUAAUAGGCAGAUUUUAUCAUCAGAAAUCAUUUUCUUGCUUUGAUAAACGUGUACCAAAUACUAUUAGAAUACCCAAUGUUGCGACUUAACAUAUAUUACAGUUGCCAUGGAAACUACAAACUUUGCUUAAUGGAUAUUAUCAAAAUGGAAGUAAGUAUAUUAAUGAGCCUACACUGAUAUGAAUGGAAACUUGAAUGAAACCUAGAAAAAUAUACAGUAACAUCAGAGCCCUCUAGGCAGGUGGGGCUCUCGUUUCCUUCCUUUUCCUUUUCAGGGUUUUCCCUUUCUAAAAAUAAUUCAGGGUACAUUUUAAUUGGAAUAUCCACAAUACAUUUCCUAUGUAUUUUUUUUUAAAAACUCAUAGCAAUUAUAUAAAAAAUAAUUCACACAUCCUAAAUUAUAUCCUAGGUAUUUUUAUACAAUUACAUUUCUUUUUAAAGGUGAGGCUUAGGUGGGAAUCACAGGAUUUAACAAAUAAAAUAAAAAAGAAGAUAAAGAUAGCAGGUAUUAUAACUGUCCAAGAGAAAAUGAUGCCCACUCAUCCUCAACAAGAUAGAGAGGCUGGUGCCACACAGCACGGAGGCAGCAUAAGAAGGAAUGUCCUAUUUGACACAAAGUUCUUUAACCACGGCCUCAGUACAUUUUUUCUGAGUCCACGGCAAAUUCUACAAAGUCAGUGUCCUUUCCCACAACCACCCAAACCUACAGUCCAAACACAGCUAACCAUGGAACGAGGUAAUUACUUUUCUCAGCCUUUGGCUAUAAUCUAAUAAAGAAGCAGGACUAGGCACAGAAAUCUAAAAAGAAAAAGAAAAGUCAAUGCACAAGUAAAAUGGGCACUAGGUAAGAAUACCAGAUUUGGGGGGCAGGGGUGAGGGAGUCAGUGUGGAAGGUACCAGAAAGGGCUUCACAGAUGGACAAAAACACUACACAGACAGUGCAACCAGAAGACCAUCCAGGAGCCCAGCAGGAAGGAGAAACACAAGCUGCACUACACAUCUACCAGCUCUUGGAGACUCUAAAAUCACUCAUGUUCCAAAAAGAUAAAAGGAUGCAAAGAAGCCAGAUGUGGUUUGGAAGCAGGGUUCGUGGACAGUGUCCAUGAUGAAAACAAGGAGGCAGUCAGUACAGGCAGGCACAGAGAGAACGGGUUCUGGGAACCCUUGGCUGGAACAAGCAAGCUCUCACUAAUUCUCCCUCCAUCUGUCCCACGCAUGUGACUCAGCGUGUCUGUCCCUAGGACCACAGACAAUGGUCUACACAAAGCCGGAUUCUGGGCAGGGAACACUCCGAGUCUGAAAGAGGGUGUAUCAGCUAGCAGUGCUGGCACAGGCAACAGUAAGUACUUUUAGGAGGAAAAAAAAAAGGUACCCACAGAGCUUACUUAGUCCAGUCCACAGCUCCAAAGGACUGCACUGCAUCUUGUAAUGCUUUCCAGGAGGGUAAGGGGGACUCGUCCGCAGUUAACCGACAACUACAGAGAGCACUUUUCAGAGACGUGGGAUAAGAAGCAACAAGAUACCAUCCAUCUGUCUCGAAGCCCAUCCUAAUUCCACUGUCACCAGCCUAUGUCAGGAAUGAGGACAAGGCACAGGAUUGUGUUAGAAGCUCAAAUCUAUUAAUAGCUUAGAAACAGCUUUGUUUAAGUUUCACAGCCGUUGCAGGACCUAGAAUGAACAAAAUCCCACUCGUGAGAAAGUGAAAAACAGUGAGGAGAAUACUUCAUCGACUGACCAGCCUGGACGCCUGCAGGCACUGAGGCACUGGCACACACGGUGUGCACACGGACGGCAUGCUCGGGUGGUCCAGAAAACACAUUGGCAAAGGGAACUGCCAAACACCCAGGUGAGCUUUGAACUUAGAAGUGUGACGGAGUGCUGGAGAGAUGGCUCAGCUGUUAAAGGCAAACGGGGACAGGAGACAAACCACGAAGGGCUCAGACUGCCCUGCUAAAGCAGCUGGAGAGAGACUGGUGGGGGAAGGGGAGAGGCACAUGCGCAGCUCAGGAGGCUUCUGGGGUUACUUGAGGAAGACGUGAAAUAAUUCUACUCUAACCUGAAAGUCUGGAGAUACAACACCAAAUUCCGUCCAGGACGAAAGAAAGGGAAGAAAAGCCAGGAAACGCAGCGUGUCUGCACAGUAAACUGGAGGACACAUGCACCAAGCCUGAGAACGAGCAACGGUAAGGAGUGAGCUAUAAACCACAGAAGGCCGGGAAGACGAGAGCCACGGGAAAGGAAUAACUUGGAAAGCUGCGCUUGGAGCGAAGAGAUGGAACCCAGUGAGAGGAUUUACGUUUAAAGGCAGGUUAAAACCUCUACCUGGCUUUAAUGUCCUCACCAAGAAGAGGAGAAGGAAGAGAAAAUGAAAUUUACAAGGAGUUACUGUAUUUCACGGACUCCGAGGCUGUGUCCUCGUAACACCUCAAUUCAACAGCCAACGGAAGCAUCCAGAUGGUGGGUGACAAGUGGACUUCCCAUGGACUUAAAGUCUGACCCACAAGUGUUACUCUCUCUGAUCUCAACCGGAAAGACGGGACAUGGACAGUCAGUGAUGGGCUGAUGGCUGCUGGUCCAUCGGGUCCACAGCAGAAGGAACUCCACCUACUCACAAUGCAAGUAGUUUACCUUUGCAGGGAGCAGCACGCGGAGGAUCAGCAUUAAACAGGACCUGAUUCACACAAAAAAGGCGUCCCAUUAUUCCACAAACGUUGCUACAUAUUUACUCCCAGGAAAGGCCCUUUCCACUCAGAAAUCCACAGAACACAAAUUUUGAGUGCGGAUAACUUACAGACUACAGAAAGAGGGACAGGAGUACAACCAGUCAUUGCAAACCCACGUGGUGUGUGAUGAGGCUGAAACGGCUGUAGAAGCCGUGCAGAUCUGCGAGGAGGAAAGAGGGUGAGAGGAAGCACGAGGGAGGGGGAGGAGGGAGCCAAGGUGCAUUUUGAAACUGAGUAGGAAUUUUCCAGACAGAUGGGGAAGGGAGCACUCCGGGCAGAGGAAACCGCCCGCCUGAGAGCGCAGAGGCAUGAAAGAGUGUAUUUAAGGAACUGCAAAUAAUCAGACAGGGCUGAUUCUAGGGCGGAACUUCAAAGAGAUAGGUGCCAAGGAGACGCGGGGAUAAAGAGAUGGCUGUCCCGAGAAUUCAGGGGACCUUACACUUUGCUCCACAAGGCAGCGUGUAGUUACAAGGACGCCUCGCAGUAAGGCCCCGGUGUAACCAGCCGAUCACACUGAAGGCCAGAGGGAAAGGCUGGGGCACAGCAGUGCGGAUCCAGAGAUGAGCCCUUGCCAUUAAAUUGCCUCCUGCUGCCAUGGCAACUCUGCGGUAAGGCUUUUUUGGAGCAAGAGGUGGCAAACAGAUCCCAGGUCUGCUGGCUGCCUCCUGCAGGAUCUGGCUUCUCUCCUCUCUAAUCAAGCUCUGCGGCACUAAAGCUGAGAAGCUGGUGGCAAAGCCCCUCGGAUGCUUCCGCUUUAGUGAGUCCUGACACAUGUCUUCCCCAGAGGGGAAUAAAAAUGGAGUCUGAUCACUUGUCCAAUUAUUACCUGGAAUCAGUUUAUAAUGUAUAGCUCCUUUCUACAGAGUGUGUUGCCCUGAGUGAGUCACCAAAAGGAAAUACACAGCAGUGACGUAGGCCCUUCUGCUACUGCCAAAUAACAGUGUUGCAGGCCUUCUGCUGAUGCUAAAUGUAGGCUGCAGAGAGCCUGAGGAUCUGUUCCCCACACUCAGAAGAGUCCUGCCCAAAGAGACCUCUUACCUCCAUGUGGGGGUUGGGAAGGACUGCAGCAAGGCAAGUCCAGGCAUCGCACCAGGCUAGGAACCAAGUGUCCCAAGGAGGGCCAUCUUAUUUAGAACUAUGGGAAGAGCAUACCUGAAAUAGGCUAUCGAACCCAGCUAACUACAACACACCAUUAACUAGAACACGUUUGGCCCCCAACAUUCUGGAACAACAGAAUUAGGAGAGAUUGGCGGAGCACAGUGACUUGAGUGUAGACAGUGAUCUAGGAAGCUGUACGAUGGUUGCGACAGUCCCCCUCUGCCCAUAAGCACGUGCACUUCUACAGUUUCAGUAUCUGUCCCUGAAGAUUCCACGCCCAAGGGUGGGGAUGUAGCACUUGCUUAGUAUGUAUUCAAAGGUUCAAUACCCACUCAAGCAAAAAGCACUAAAAACAAAGACGAUAGAGCGCUCUUUGAGAUUCGUCACCAUGGCAGCCUUAGAAAGACAGAGCUUUAAGUGGUGACCAGAGGAUCAUGUCCUGCUGUCAUGAACAGACCAGGGGCAGCAUUAGGAGACACAGGGGCUGAGACUGGAAAGUGCUAAUCUAAGGUCAACCUAAACUAGGCUGUGAAACCCCGUCCCUCCAAUACGGAAGAGAGAGAGAGAGAGAGAGAGAGAGAGAGAGAGAGCAAGAGCGCGAGAGAGAGAGCGAGCGAGCACGCGAGAGCGCAUUUUAUUUGCUCCUCAACACUUCCAUUCAUUUAUCUGUUUUAUUAUCUAUCUCUACCACUAGAAAUCAACUCUGGAAGAGCAGAGCCAGUUGACUAUUUAAUCCAUUUCUAUAUCCUCAGUGCCUAAAUAAUUCCUGGAAUGAAAAAAGCAAUCCAUAAUCAUUUAUGGAAUCACUGAAAAGAUGGUGCUUUGUGUACAUUUUACCAGGUGAAGAUGAGGUGGAAAGGAAGUAGGGGAGAAGGUAUUUAAGGUCGAAAUAGUAUUCUUCAAGAUAAAAAUUUUAAACACGUUCUCUGCCAGAUACAGAGUUAAGUAAAGAAUAUAAUUAUAAAUAUGCCCGUCCUAGCCAGGCAGGCAUGCGGCUCAUGCUUCUAAUCCCAGCACUUGAGAGGCUGGGGCAGAAAGUCUGAAGUUCAAGGACAGCCUAGGUUAUCGACAGAAUUCAAAGCCAGCCAGAUGUUCAUGGCAAGAUCCUACCUCAGAAACCAAACCAAACCGACAAGAGGGAGUAGGUACACAGUCUCCCUUCCCUGUCUUCACGGCAUAGAGAGGAAGGAGCUGUGGGCAAUGUAAAUGCCUCACCUGGGAAAGGAGGCCAGUACAGGAAGAUCAGAUGAGUCUCAAGUGGCAUCCUAAGGGGAGGGACCUAGAGAGUAGAAAACUAAAGCAACCACACGAUGAGCAAGAGUCAUACCAGAGCAGGUACAGCCACAGAGAGGAGAACAUGGAAAAGGUUAGCAUGGUUGAUGGGGACUGCAGUGAAGGAUGCAGAGGUUGAAGGUUUCAGAGGCAGGACAGUGGAGUUCCUCCUCAAGAUGGAAAGCUGUUGGGAGCUCACCUGCCCUGAUGUGGAAAAUGAACAACAGGUGACGAACGGGCAGGCGGGAAGGAGCUGAAGGAUUUGUACCACGAAAUGACAGCUGAGGCUAGGCUAAGAAUGGAGAUGAAAGGAGGAUUUCACAGGUACUCAGGAGCGAGGAAGACCCUGCGAUGAUGUGAUAAGGAAGAGAAGAACAUCCCAGUCUAACCAGGAUGGCUGGGCCAUUACAGUUUGUAACCGUGUUCCACUAAGAACAAAACCAAACCAAACCAUGAGUCUUGGGCACUGUGGUCUAUGCUAAUAAUCCUAGCACUCAGGAGGGUAGAGAUUGGAGAAUGUUAGCCCCAAAACAGCUUAAGUUACACAGCAAGAUUGUCUCAGAAGACGCAGACAAAAGGGACAGUGCACUCUUAGAAAGCCCCAGUUUGGUGCCCUUAAUAUAUUAGUUACCAACAAAAACAUGCAAAUGGAGAAGCCAGAGAGAUCAAUUCCAGGUAGCUGCAGUGUCUGUUUCCUACUUACACAUGUACCAAAAAGAGAGAAAACAUGCUGGAGAACCCAGGAGCGGUUCCCAGCACCCACAGCACCCUUAACUCUAAUUCCAAGGGCUCUGAUGACCUCUUCCGACCUCCACCAACUACAUAGGCUCACCUGCACACAGGAAAUAAAUCUAAGCAAGAGAGAGGGUGAAUGUUAGAAUAAAUCCAACAUCCAUUGACUGUAUCUUGUGCAAAACUGAGAUAAGAAAAUAAAUAAAAGCACUUUAUAAAAAUGUUCAAUGAGAGCUACCAAAAAUAAUUUUUCUACUUAGCAAAGGUAACUGGAAGACUACCGAAGCCAAAUCUGCUCUCAAUACCAUGGUCAGAAGGAGAAAAUCUCAACUUUUCAAACAAUCACAACAAAAAAUACUAUUAGGUCAUGCAACAAUGACAAAGGAAUUUGUUUCUUCUUAGUGUGAAAACUUUAUUGAUACAUAAUUAACAGGCCAUAAAGUAAACCUGUACAAACUCUGCCUUUUCCUUUAAGAGUCACUAAGGGUCUCACUAAGUUGCCCUGGCUGGUCUCAAAUUCCUUGGCUCAGGGAUCCUCUUUCUUAGCUAAGCCUUCUCAGUGUUGUGACUGUCGGUAGGGCUAAGGACUGUGACUAUGAGGAGGCCUAGUGGCCUCCAUAUACUCCUACCGCAUGGGCGACCACAUAUUCCCCAGUGGUCAACCAGUUCAAUGUUUUUAAGUAUAUAUUACUGAAUUAUUUAUCAUGAAAAAUCUUACUCUGAAGUAUUUCCAUCCCUGAAGAAACUGCAUGUCUACGGUCAUUGCUCAGUUUUCUGAACUGCCCACCCUUCCUUAGCGUAAGUUCAAAGCUCAGCAUGUUACACUGUAUGCUUCGAUAUCUCAUUCCGAUUAUGCAUACAAAUCCACUGUGCCAUUUUUUUCCUUUGAGAGUUAUUAUCAAUUAUAUUGCUAUCAACAUCCAUAUGUAUGCCUCUGUGUGUACACAUGUCUUUAUUUCUUUUAGGCAGGUUCCAAGAAGUAGACUUGCUAGGUCAUAAAGUAACCAUGUUGGACAUUUUGAGAAAUAGUCCAUUUUUAACAGGGCGGCUAGUCCAUCUUCAACUCCUAUUAUAAUACACGGGUUUCCAAUUUCUCCAAAUCCUUAUGCAUAUCAUUACGGGUAUCAACUGAUGAACGGAUAACCAAAUUGUGGAAUAUCCAUACAACAAAAUAAUAUUAAAUGAUCACCUUUCUAGUUGAAGAGAAAGGAGUAAGUCUCUGGCUCUGCUUUGCAUUUCACUGAUGGCUAAUGGUGUUCAAUGUCUUUCACAAGCCUCUUUGUGCACACUGCCUUUCAGUUCCUUUGGACAGAUGUCCCUUGACACUCUUGCCCACAGAUUUCUAUCCAUUUGUACCAAGGACAAAAUAAUGAAGCACCAGAUAGUGUCACAAUACUAUGAAAAAAUAUUAUGAGAAAUAAAGUUAAAUCGUAAGGAUAAAAGACCAUUUAGGAGACAAUGUAGGAGCAAAAGAUCAGAGGCUGCAGGACAGAGGCAACAAGGAAACAAAGCAAAACGUGUGCACACUCGGAAGACAGGCUUGUUGCCAGAAUAGGGGGUUUCGACUCGGCUGAGUUGAUUUGAUAGGGAGAGCAAUUACAGAUGAUGAGAAGACCAAACGGAGAUGCUGUAGCUAUGGAAGAGUAAAUCCUGAAAGCAUUCACUGAGAAAAAUGUAAAUGCCUCCCAGGGCUAGAGUGAGAAUCAAUGGGGCAGGAUGUGGUAAAGAGCUUUGUAAGCAUCAUAUACAUGGGCUAAAAGCCUUCCCAUCUGGAUUGAAAUCGGAAGCACCAACAACUUCCAACCUCCUUCUAGAGAUGAUGGCGAUGAUGAAGACCACAAACAGCAGCUAACAUUUACAGUUCCAGGUACUGUGCUAAGUCUCUUACCUCACUCUCACAUUUACUCCUCCAAAACACCACUGUGUGUCCUUACUAUCAACAAGGCUCUUUGAGCCCAAAACUAUUGCUGCUAUUUUCUACAGUGCAAACUCUUCCUUAAUUCCUCUCCAGUGGAGCUGCCUGUGAAGAUACCCUCAACUGCAUGAACAAUUCAACUCAUCACAGAAAAAUGGAAAAUGCUCUUUCCAUUGUACUACUUUUAUCUUUUUUUAUUAGAGAAUCAAAAUUUUCAUAAUUGAACGUGCCAACCUGGGUGUGACUUAAUUUCUUUAUUGCUUCAACAAUGUACAAAUUAUCCCCUCUCUUCAAUGACAUACGAUAUUCAUUUCAAAAUAUUUAAUUCUUCUGGAAUUUAGUUUGUAUGGUAUGAGAUUAAAACAGGUCUUAAUGUGGUAUCUAUCAUAUUACCAUCUAGCCCAAUAUUUUUAAUUUAAUUUUUUUGUUGUUAAAUGAUUCUUGCUUUCACAUAACCUACUUCCCCUGAGUUUUAGUAUGUCACUUCCAUUCUGAUUCCAUGGCUGUAUGGACCUACGUUUAGACAGUUCUUAGAACAUACUCUUGGGACAUGAUAGUCUAGAGCAACAAGCCCUCCACCCUUUGCUUCCCUACAAAGAAUCUAACAAUGAAAACUAUAGAUACAGAUCGAUCUUUAUGAGAACUCCUCAGUCUCACGUCUUAUCUGGCCAGUACGACAAUUGCCAACAGGCUAUUGUUUUGCAGGGUGGAGAUGAGCUUGAGCCUUAGACCUGCAAGGUAAGUGAGUCACUCCUCCACCCCUCCAAGUGCCAACACUUAAAGCUCAGAGCUGGAAAGACGGCCUAGAAGUUAACAGUCCUUGUUCUUGAGGGAGACCUGAAUAUAAUCCCUGGCAUCACCAUGGCAGCUCACAAUCAACCAUAACUGCAGUUUUAGGGGAAUCUAACACUUUCUCUUGACGUCUGUGGGUACCAUGCACACUUGUGAUACAUAGACAUAUAUGUACUUAAAACACUUAUAUACAUAAAAUAAAUCUAAAAAUUCAUUUAAAAUAAAAAUCAGAAGAUUGGCAGGCCUUUCUCUUCUUGAGUGUUCUCCUCACUCUUCUUUAACCUGUCAACAGGUAUCUGGCCUCAGUUGAAAAAUGGGCUGACUUUUUCCGGGGAGAUGACUCAGAGUGGUUAAAGCCUUGCUGUAGAAAUGAGAGGAGCAGAGUUCAGAGCUCAGAUCCCCGGAAUCCAUGUGAACAGCUGGUGGGCAUGCUAGUUUACAGGUAGUUCCACCCUUCAAAGGCAGAUUCUUAGCGUACGUAAGCUAAUGACUCACUAUGUAAGUGAGCUCUGGGUUCAACCUGAGAACUUGUCUCAAAGACUGAGAUGAAAGAGGGCUGCCAGCACCCGCCUUGGAUGUCAUGUACAUGUGCACACACACACACCCCUACUCAAGAACAUGCCUAUACACACACGCUGCACACAUACACAUGAAGAGAAAAACAACCCUAGUGUCAAGGUCUUCUCUGCAUAUAUCUAUAUCUGAGCAAGAGCCACACAAAACCACUAUGUAUGGAGUUCAAAGUACCCAGUAUCUCCUAGGGUCUUUACGCCUAGUCUAUUUAUGUAACUACAAUGUUUGCCUGGUGGCUUUGGGGUUUUCAACCUCUAGUGAAACCCACAAGCCUCUCUUUCUGUUUUCAAAGUCAGAGAAUUCACAGCUCCUUUGAUAUUCAACUUCAGUAACUACACUUAGCCUAGACAUCUGGUCUACCCUCUCAAACACACCCACUGCAUGGCUCGAUCUCUUCCUUUCAGAUACCAGUCUACUGUUUUACAAUGUAUGCAUUUUCUUUUAAUACUCUGAAAUUACUUGUGAACAAGGAUAAUUUUUAAAAGCAUUCCUCAUUUGAGGAAAAUCUUAUCUGCUUUUUAUGAUUUAUACCAUCAACCAGGAUUAAGUCACCAUCCCAUUGGGGUCUUAAACUGGUACCGUAUUAAGUCUAUAAAUUAACUUUGGUUAUAUUGUUAUAUUUACUGCAUUAAGACUACCCACUAUGUGGAGAUUUGAUGUUUAUUAUUGUUCCAUUUUCCUUCUAUUAAAAUAUUAUAAUUCUCUGCACUUGGCGAUAUAUAAAUAUGCAUGUAUAUAUGAGGGUACAUGGACUUUACUGUAAAAAAUAAGUACUCUAUUUUUCAUUAUAUUUUCAGCAUAAUAAUAAAAUAAAUGACUGAAUCUGUUUAGGCAUAUGCUUUAUAACUUGCAAUUCAAGCGUUGAGGUUAGGGCACAUUUUGUUGCAGCCCCUAAACAGCAUUGUAGCCCCUUGUAUUACUUUUCUUUCUAUUGGCAUCCAUACAUUCCAGUUAUUCCCUAUGUGAUUUACUGCACCUAGUUAUUUAAAACAAUGGUAUACAAAGGCAGAAUCCUGUUUGUUUUAGGUAAAUUAUUUCUACCUCUAUAUAACCUUGGUAACUGCCCUUACCCAAGACUCCUUUUAUGCCUUCAAGUUUGAAUUUUCAACAAAAGAUGCCACUGAGGAAGACAAUUCUUUCUGAUAAAUCCUGCUGAGACACAUGAAUCUUUCUUUGGGGCAGGGGCAUCAAUUAUAUCUAUUUUUCACACCACCUAAAUUGUCUAAAAGUACUCACAAAGAUAAGGACUUAAUUAAAAGCUCUUAAAUAAAACAUAGAGAAAAAUCUUUGUGACUUUAGGGUUAAGUAAUAAGGUCUUAGAACAGAAAAUAGCACAAGCCCCUAAAAAAAUCAUCAAAAUUGAAAACCUUUUCUUACCAAAAGAUAUAAUUAGGAGAGCUGGGGAGAUGGCUCCAUGGGUAAAGUGCUUGCCACACAAGCCUGAAGAUCUGAGAUCAAUCAGAAGAACUAUGUUUUAAAUAGCUCAGUGUGGUUAGAAGAAAGAAAAAAAGAAAGAAGGAAAGAAGGAAAGAAGGAAGGAAGGAACCUUGUAAUCUCAACUCUAGUUUAAUGGUUCUAGCAAAAGUCCACAUUGAAAAAAGAAUUAGAAUAAGGAGGAGGAAGAGGAGAAGGAACAGGAAGCAUAAGAAGGAGGAGGAAGAAAAAAAAGGAAUGAAGGGAGGGAAGAAGGGAGGGAAAAAAAGAAGAGGAGGAGGAUCACUCAUAAGAAACACCAUCCAAGAUGGACCAGACCACUAACCCACACACACAGGACAUUGAGAAAAUAAAAAUUAGGGCACUGGAAAGAGCUAGCUCAGUGGUCAGUGGUUAAGAACCCUUGCUGCUCUUACAGAGGACCUGACUUUAAACUCCUAGCACUCAUACCUAAUUCAGCUACACGGGAUCUGACACUCUUUUCUGGUCUUCUUGGGCAUAUGAUUGAGAGCAUUUGUGUUUGUGUGUGUGUGUGUGUGUGUGUGUGUGUGUGUGCGCGCGCGCGCGCGUGUGUCCCCCAAAAAACAAAAGGGUCAAAUGUAGACUAUAGAAAAUAUCACCAAAAAUAUGUAACCAGAAAAGGUCAUCAGAUCAUAAAGGACUUCUAUUGAGAUUAUAAAUCAUUCUUGAAAUUCUUUUACCAAAACCAAAUCGCUAUAAAAUGUGUGAAAGGCUACUUCAUAAAAGACAGGUGAACUGUCAGUCACUGCUUUAAAAGAAGUUCAGCAUCGAUGGUCAUUAAGAGUAUGGGAACUCAGAACAAAUAAAGACUGAAAAAUGAAAUGUAGUUACAACCACAAGACAAUGUGGUACUAUUAUACACCCACCAGAACAUCUAAAAAUACACAACACAGAAUGCCACAAGGAGACACACCAAUUAGGACCCUCCCACUUUGGUAAGAGAGAUGCAAACGGCACAACUUGGAAACAGUGUGAACCACCCAAAUCCUAGCAUCCCCCUGAGAACACUGAAAUAUAGACGUGUCCUUGCAGAACUGUGUCCAGAAGCUUCCAGACCAGCAUGACUCGUGAUGGCAAGAGAGUAGUUUAUACCUUAAAAGAGCUGCAUAGGUAAAAUAUAAUACACUCACACAGUGAAAUGUUACCUAGCAAUUUUACAAGGAAUAAACUAGUGGCAUAUCUAUAAAACAUAAGUGCACGUUAAUAACAUUUUUUAUGCUGUGUUUAAAAAAGAAGUCAAACACAAUCCAGGUAUGGUGGCGCCUGUAUUAAGAAAAAAAAAAAA